rnacentral:snRNA from 1 species
AUACUUACCUGGCAGGGGCGAUACCAUGAUCACAAAGGUGGUUUUCCCAGGGCGAGGCUUAUCCAUUGCACUCCGGAUGUACUGACCCCUGUGAUUUCCCCAAAUGUGGGAAACUCGACUGCAUAAUUUGUGAUAGUGGGGGACUGCAUUCGUGCUCUCCCCUG